rnacentral:rRNA from 1 species
UACAGAGGGUGCUAGCGUUGUUCGGAAUCAUUGGGCGUAAAGGGCGUGUAGGCGGUUUGUUAAGUCAUGUGUGAAAUCCCUCGGCUCAACCGGGGAACGACGCAUGAAACUGGCAAGCUAGAGUACCAAAGAGGGGGGUGGAAUUCCCGGUGUAGCGGUGAAAUGCGUAGAGAUCGGGAGGAACAUCAGUGGCGAAGGCGGCCAUCUGGGACAACACUGACGCUGAAGCACGAAAGCGUGGGGAGCGAACCGG